rnacentral:rRNA from 1 species
GACGAACGCUGGCGGCGUGCUUAACACAUGCAAGUCGAACGGAAAGGCCCUGCUUUUGUGGGGUGCUCGAGUGGCGAACGGGUGAGUAACACGUGAGUAACCUGCCCUUGACUUUGGGAUAACUUCAGGAAACUGGGGCUAAUACCGGAUAGGAGCUCCUGCUGCAUGGUGGGGGUUGGAAAGUUUCGGCGGUUGGGGAUGGACUCGCGGCUUAUCAGCUUGUUGGUGGGGUAGUGGCUUACCAAGGCUUUGACGGGUAGCCGGCCUGAGAGGGUGACCGGCGACAUUGGGACUGAGAUACGGCCCAGACUCCUACGGGAGGCAGCAGUGGGGAAUAUUGCACAAUGGGCGGAAGCCUGAUGCAGCAACGCCGCGUGCGGGAUGACGGCCUUCGGGUUGUAAACCGCUUUCGCCUGUGACGAAGCGUGAGUGACGGUAAUGGGUAAAGAAGCACCGGCUAACUACGUG